rnacentral:tRNA from 1 species
CUUUAAAUAGCUAAGCCAAAAGUAAUAAGUUGUAGCCUUAUAGAUGGAAAAAAAAUCCUUUAAAGAA